rnacentral:lncRNA from 12 species
AGCUGCUCGGCCAGCCCGCGUUUGGCUUGGCCCGCUUAAGGCGAAAUGUGGUAAUCUUGUAUUCCCUCAGGCUCCCUUCUGGUACGGAAGAAGCAGAAGACCUAGACGACCUGAUUGCUUUAAUACUUUUACUGCUUGGAUGUCAUGCUUUGAGGCCGAUGCACUCACCUGCAAGCCGCUAUGGAAGGAUCCUCCUCUGCUGUAUGAUCAGGCAAGCCAUGUCUUUUCAUCAUGAUCAGGACCAUGAUUCUUGACAGAGCUAGCAUUUUCC